rnacentral:rRNA from 1 species
CCCUUAGAUGUCCUGGGCCGCACGCGCGUUACACUGAUGCAUUCAACGAGUUCUACCUUGGCCGAGAGGCCUGGGCAAUCUUUUGAACCUGCAUCGUGAUAGGGAUAGAUUAUUGCAAUUAUUAAUCUUGAACGAGGAAUUCCUAGUAAACGCAGAUCAUCAAUCUGCAUUGAUUACGUCCCUGCCCUUUGUACACACCGCCCGUCGCACCUACCGAUUGAAUGGUCCGGUGAAGCCUCGGGAUUGUGGCGAGUUCCCUUUAUUGGGAGUUUGUCGCGAGAACUUGUCUAAACCUUAUCAUUUAGAGGAAGGUGAAGUCGUAACA